CCAUUGUGGUACCCAAGUCUCACCUUUCACUUUGCAUCACCUUUAUAUCUAGAAGCAAGAGCCUAGAUGAAAUGCGCCUUAUCUCAUCUCCCUAAGAAACCCUGGACCCUGUCACUGACCUCAGACCCUCAUGGGUUCCCUGGAUCCCUCAUCUGUGACCCAUACCACCAACUGUGCAAAGACAGGUUUCGGAGUUGGAUCACCUGUUUAUCAUGCAGCCACCGGAUAUUUCAAAAUACACUCAUCACCUGGCAUGGUAGUUCCCGAUGGGGAGAAGAUCAUAACCUGCUUUCCACAAUGGCAUUUCCCCUUUCCCAGAAAUGGAUUCAUAAUCCUAUAAUCAUAGACAAUAUUUGCUGUUUAAAGAUACAAAGGACACUGGUGCAGAGUAAUCAGCCCGCGCAGUUGGGGUUCAUAAAAACAAUAAUCAGGACAAUAAAAUGCGUGUCCUGACAGCUCCUCAUUGUUCGUCCCGGAGUAGGGACAAUGUAAUCCACUUAGAAAACUAGGUAUUCUUUGUCUGAAGUUUCCGUCCGGCUCCUCUUGAGUCAUUGGAGGUGGGGAAACACUCCCCUAUUGGUUGGCAGGCAUUGCAGUCCCACCUCUACAGGGAAACCUCCCUGACAUCUUUGGAGCUUAGCCAAUCAUGACCAAGCCGGGUCCAGCUAGGCAGGAGUGGGAAUUUCAAACUGUACUAUAUAAAAAUUGUCUGUUUUUCACUGUAAUGGUAUCUCAGUUUACUUUGGCUGAUAACCAUGAGCUGGCAUCACUUUCAGCCGAUUUAAUAAAAUACCUCAGUGGCUUCUUCUUCAACUUGGUGAGAUGUAUUCUGGAAUAUUGGCUUCUUCAUCUUGCCAGGAGCACGGACUCACAGAGUGGCCUAUCACC
rnacentral:lncRNA from 1 species